rnacentral:rRNA from 1 species
AUGGCGCUUGCUCCCCGGUCGUCUCUUUGCUCGCUGGUGCUGCUCAUGUCGCAUGGGAAGCCCCAGCUGAGCGCUUUCUUCUCCUCCGCCGGCACCACCGCCGCGCCCAAGGCCGCGAAGCCUCCAGCAGCUCCAGCCGGUGAUAGUCCGGCCAUCGACCCUCCAGCCGCUGCAGGUACAGAUGCCAAGAUUUCGCCUGAAACUGAGGGUUCAUGUCACACGCUUGGACCUGAAGCUGACAAGAUUUCGCCCGGCGCCACCAAGGAUCCGGAGGGCACGGUACCCGAAGGCUCAUGCGACACACCUCAACCUGUAUCGGAUGAUCCUCCGUCUGGAGCUCGCAAAGACCCGAUGCACGGAGUUCCUGAAAACCCAUAG